CCUACGGGAGGCAGCAGUGGGGAAUAUUGCACAAUGGGGGAAACCCUGAUGCAGCGACGCCGCGUGAGUGAAGAAGUAUUUCGGUACGUAAAGCUCUAUCAGCAGGGAAGAAAAAAAGUCCUUUGGACUUUGGACGGUACCUGACUAAGAAGCCCCGGCUAAAUACGUGCCAGCAGCCGCGGGAAUACGUAGGGGGCAAGCGUUAUCCGGAUUUACUGGGUGUAAAGGGAGCGUAGACGGCAGCGCAAGCCUGGAGGGAAAUGCCGGGGCCCAACCCCGGAACUGCUGUGGAAUCUGUGGAGCGGGAGUGGAGGAGAGGUAAGCGGAAUUCCUGGUGUAGCGGUGAAAUGCGUAGAUAUUAGGCGGAACACCAGUGGCGAAGGCGGCUUACUGGACUGUAACUGACGUUGAGGCUCGAAAGCGUGGGGAGCAAACAGGAUUAGAUACCCGAGUAGUC
rnacentral:rRNA from 1 species